rnacentral:rRNA from 1 species
CCUAGGCAGGGCGGCAGCCUACAAUGCAGUCGAGCGGUAGAGAGAAGCUUGCUUCUCUUGAGAGCGGCGGACGGGUGAGUAAUGCCUAGGAAUCUGCCUGGUAGUGGGGGAUAACGUCCGGAAACGGACGCUAAUACCGCAUACGUCCUACGGGAGAAAGCAGGGGACCUUCGGGCCUUGCGCUAUCAGAUGAGCCUAGGUCGGAUUAGCUAGUUGGUGGGGUAAUGGCUCACCAAGGCGACGAUCCGUAACUGGUCUGAGAGGAUGAUCAGUCACACUGGAACUGAGACACGGUCCAGACUCCUACGGGAGGCAGCAGUGGGGAAUAUUGGACAAUGGGCGAAAGCCUGAUCCAGCCAUGCCGCGUGUGUGAAGAAGGUCUUCGGAUUGUAAAGCACUUUAAGUUGGGAGGAAGGGCUAUUACCUAAUACGUGAUGGUUUUGACGUUACCGACAGAAUAAGCACCGGCUAACUCUGUGCCAGCAGCCGCGGUAAUACAGAGGGUGCAAGCGUUAAUCGGAAUUACUGGGCGUAAAGCGCGCGUAGGUGGUUUGUUAAGUUGGAUGUGAAAUCCCCGGGCUCAACCUGGGAACUGCAUUCAAAACUGACUGACUAGAGUAUGGUAGAGGGUGGUGGAAUUUCCUGUGUAGCGGUGAAAUGCGUAGAUAUAGGAAGGAACACCAGUGGCGAAGGCGACCACCUGGACUGAUACUGACACUGAGGUGCGAAAGCGUGGGGAGCAAACAGGAUUAGAUACCCUGGUAGUCCACGCCGUAAACGAUGUCAACUAGCCGUUGGGAGCCUUGAGCUCUUAGUGGCGCAGCUAACGCAUUAAGUUGACCGCCUGGGGAGUACGGCCGCAAGGUUAAGACUCAAAUGAAUUGACGGGGGCCCGCACAAGCGGUGGAGCAUGUGGUUUAAUUCGAAGCAACGCGAAGAACCUUACCAGGCCUUGACAUCCAAUGAACUUUCCAGAGAUGGAUUGGUGCCUUCGGGAACAUUGAGACAGGUGCUGCAUGGCUGUCGUCAGCUCGUGUCCUGAAAUGUUGGGUUAAGUCCCGUAACGAGCGCAACCCUUGUCCUUAGUUACCAGCACGUUAUGGGGGGGCACUCUAAGGAAAUGGC